AAGUCGAACGAUGAACCACUUCGGUGGGGAUUAGUGGCGAACGGGUGAGUAACACGUGGGCAAUCUGCCCUGCACUCUGGGACAAGCCCUGGAAACGGGGUCUAAUACCGGAUACUGACCAUCUUGGGCAUCUUUGAUGGUCGAAAGCUCCGGCGGUGCAGGAUGAGCCCGCGGCCUAUCAGCUAGUUGGUGAGGUAAUGGCUCACCAAGGCGACGACGGGUAGCCGGCCUGAGAGGGCGACCGGCCACACUGGGACUGAGACACGGCCCAGACUCCUACGGGAGGCAGCAGUGGGGAAUAUUGCACAAUGGGCGAAAGCCUGAUGCAGCGACGCCGCGUGAGGGAUGACGGCCUUCGGGUUGUAAACCUCUUUCAGCAGGGAAGAAGCGAAAGUGACGGUACCUGCAGAAGAAGCGCCGGCUAACUACGUGCCAGCAGCCGCGGUAAUACGUAGGGCGCAAGCGUUGUCCGGAAUUAUUGGGCGUAAAGAGCUCGUAGGCGGCUUGUCACGUCGGUUGUGAAAGCCCGGGGCUUAACCCCGGGUCUGCAGUCGAUACGGGCAGGCUAGAGUUCGGUAGGGGAGAUCGGAAUUCCUGGUGUAGCGGUGAAAUGCGCAGAUAUCAGGAGGAACACCGGUGGCGAAGGCGGAUCUCUGGGCCGAUACUGACGCUGAGGAGCGAAAGCGUGGGGAGCGAACAGGAUUAGAUACCCUGGUAGUCCACGCCGUAAACGGUGGGCACUAUGUGUGGGCAACAUUCCACGUUGUCCGUGCCGCAGCUAACGCAUUAAGUGCCCCGCCUGGGGAGUACGGCCGCAAGGCUAAGACUCAAAGGAAUUGACGGGGGCCCGCACAAGCGGCGGAGCAUGUGGCUUAAUUCGACGCA
rnacentral:rRNA from 1 species